rnacentral:lncRNA from 1 species
CUGGUGGCAGCCCAGACUGCCUCGGUCCGGGAGGGAGAGGGUUUCUCAGCAGAGAUCCCCACGCAGCAUCCCCAGAACUGGGCACACGUGCCAGGACACCGAGACCAGGAUGGGGCGAGCGAGGAGGGAGUUUCGGGGUGCCCAGCGAGCGAGGGGUCUUCAACUGCACCCGUAGAUGUUACAUCCCAGGCAGGGUCUGCUUUAAAUCCCUCCCUCCUCCCUCCCUCCCUGGCGAGGAACUUCUCUCGCUGAACUGGAGGAUGCUGCAAGCUCCUGCGGACGAGCCGGAGGAGUCCUGUGGCAAAGUCAAGGCGAGCGAAGAAGCAGCGUGGUCAUGCCGGGUGUCACCGCAGCCCGCUGCCGCCAGCCCAGCCUGCUGCGGCCGCUGUCACCUCCAGGACCGGACCAGGCCUAGAGCAGACUCAUCUCAGCUCUCGCUGCCCAGCCCACCAUGUCCUUUCUCCCAGCUGCCAUUGUCUUGUUUGUGGGACUCGUCGUAGGUAUUGGACUUGUAGUAGCAGCAAAUGGUUCAAGGAUGAGAAUGGCUGCAAGGAGGAACCGCGCAGGAUCUUUUGACUUCGCUUUUGAAGCUGGUGAGUGGGGAGGGCAGGGGAGCUGAGAUGUGUGGGGUGGGAGCACAGGGCUGUACCCUGAGGUUUCUCUGAAGCCAAAGCAGCCCAUUAACUCCUCCCUGGUCUGAAUGCACCUGGACUUAGGGAAAGGGAUCAAUCCCAAUGUGCUGGGAAGAGCCAGGACCUGCUGGGACUGGGGUCAAGGCUGAGGGUAUCAGGGGCUGUGCAGGCAGGUGUCUGCUGUUUAGCAAGAAGUCCUGUGUCCACUGGCAGCACUGGUGAGAGACAGAAAGGGGCAGCAGAAAGGGCUUGGAUGUGCUCAGGGAGCAGCACUUGCUGCAGACCAAGUGUCUGGCACAGACUGAGGACACCCUUGGUGGAGAGACAUUUCUGUCUGUCCCUGCCUUAUGCAUGUCCAUCAGCAGGCAGCCUUGAUGCUUCUGGGACAUGACUCUCCUGUCUUUAUAGGGGGAAAUGAACAGGUCCUCUCUCCAAGCAUCUGCCCAAGCUAUGCUGUCCAGAGGAGGAACAGAUGACCACUGCAGGUGAACAAAAGCACAUUUCCCUCCUGCCUUUCAAGCAGCCUGAUUUGUGUCUUCCCACAGCAGCAGCUAGAAAUCCGCCACUGACUCGCAGCUUCCACUUUAACAGAUUUGAAUUACCUUGAGCAAUAAAUGCUUUGAAAACUCUAAUAAACGUGCAUGGCUGGUGUGCGUGUGUGGUGUUCCUUGGUGUGUGUCGUGGC